GAUGAACGCUGGCGGCGUGCCUAAUACAUGCAAGUCGAGCGAACAGACGAGGAGCUUGCUCCUCUGACGUUAGCGGCGGACGGGUGAGUAACACGUGGAUAACCUACCUAUAAGACUGGGAUAACUUCGGGAAACCGGAGCUAAUACCGGAUAAUAUAUUGAACCGCAUGGUUCAAUAGUGAAAGACGGUUUUGCUGUCACUUAUAGAUGGUUCCGCGCCGCAUUAGCUAGUUGGUAAGGUAACGGCCUACCAAGGCAACGAUGCGUAGCCGACCUGAGAGGGUGAUCGGCCACACUGGAACUGAGACACGGUCCAGACUCCUACGGGAGGCAGCAGUAGGGAAUCUUCCACAAUGGGCGAAAGCUUGACGGAGCAACGCCGCGUGAGUGAUGAAGGUCUUCGGAUCGUAAAACUCUGUUAUUAGGGAAGAACAAAUGUGUAAGUAACUAUGCACGUCUUGACGGUACCUAAUCAGAAAGCCACGGCUAACUACGUG
rnacentral:rRNA from 1 species